AAAAAAGUACGGCUAAGGAAAUUCCAUCCUUAGACAAUAGAGCCUUGUCUAGCACUCUUUCCAGGAAAAGCGUGCUCAGAUUGCAAAGCACCUCAGAACAAAAAAAGACCAGUAAAGUAAGUUAAAUAUAAAUGGGCAUUCCAAGCGUUUGGUGAGAUUAUUUUCAAUCAAAAAUGAAUUUUUAAUCAAUAUCCAAACGUGUUACUUUGAAUAUCAAUUGUAUAAACAACAAGAAAGAAUUAAUAUAUCCUUUUAAACUUUGCACACCGCACAGAAAUACAGAACACAUUUACUCUCAAUAUAUUCUAAUAGAGUUUCAUUCGCUUGAAAAGAAACAAAAGAUUUUGUCCACAUUUCUUAAACAUGAUCGAAAUUGAUUGCAAUAUAUUUACGUCUGCAGUUUGCUAUUGAAGCAGACGAUUGUCAGACAUGUACUUACAUACGUUUAAGGCGGAUUCAAUAUUCGAAAAUCAGUUAGAAGUAAAAUUUUCAAAAUUGAAAGACAGACGUGUCUUUAUAAUUUCCAACAUCACAAAAUACUGAUCUUUUAAUGCAAACAAAAUUUUAUUUAAAUAUAUCAAACCAUACAGAUUAAAGCUCAAAAGGAGCAACUCCAAUACAAAAACCGUUUCUGAAUUCCAUUUUCAGGAAAAUGAGAAAUUCGUGUAAAUUAUAUGAUAUUUCACUGAAAAAAUUCCUAUCUUCGACGUCAAAAAAUGAUAGAUUCGAUGUGGAAUGACCCUUAUUGGAAAACAGAAGCGUGUUUCUUCAUUGUUUCAGUAUAUGCAAAUGAGUCUGAGACAUACAGGAGACGCUACCAUCUGAAACUUCUAGAUGCAGUUCGAAACUGAAAAGACUGAGGUUUUACAUUUUCUUCCUGUGAUUCUUAAUUUUCUUUAUUCGAUUUAAUUUAGUCAGCUUUUCGUAACAGCCUACACCUACCUAGAAUUAUAACUAAGCAUACAGGUAAAUAAUACAUAGAUGAUAGCACUAGAUAAUGAAAAAAAAAUAAAUAAAUAGAUAAAAAUGUAUUAACGAAUUAAAUGCUUCAGAUAGAACAUUUUAAUUUUAUAAAAGGAGCGAAAUAAGACAUUUCUAUCUAGCAAUGACUUGAAAUCAUAUUAUUGAGAUAUGUAUAAUUUUAUGUGCUAGACUAGAUUGGACUUGUGUGCGAAUAUCAGUGUGAGGAAGUAUGUGUGUGCGCGGCGUCUCGAAAACAAAGGAAUGUAAACUGUCCAGUUAACAAUCUGUUAUGGGAGAAAGUGCUGAGACGCGUGCAAAUGUGUAUCGAUGAAUAUCUUUGGAAUCGUUUAUCGAAUAAAUAUAUAACUAUUCUAAUAUAAAUUCAAAGUGUAUAUUUAGUGUUCCUAUACUAUUAUUUCGGCUAUUAAGAUCCAAUAUUCUCAACACAGAUUUAACUAAUAUUUUUAAAUAUACGUACAAUUUAUACACAAAAAUUGUUAAGAAAUUAGUGGUUUCAACAUAUGUACGUGGUAUUACAAUAAAACGUCCUAUCGAUAUUUAAAGAGAGAAUUCAAGAAUGGGAUGUAUGGAAAUACCUGGAGCCCUUUCCAACGCACUCCGAAUAGCGUUAGUCACGGCCAAUGUAAGGAACCAAGAGGGUGGCAGUAGGGCAGCAGAAAAAUCGGAAACCACCGAAAUUACUACGGAAAUGGAUGAAGUUAAAAAGAUAAGAAAGUCGGAAAUUAUCCCAAGGAUACGUCUGUUAGUUUCCAAUUGAGGGUACUUUUGCAACUGUUUCGCAGAAGGCAAUGUUGGUAGUAACUGCUAGUAAUAAAUGGAUGUUCGUGAGAUUACAGAAAUUAGGUAAUAAUUGUUAUCCGAAGAAAAUCAUGUUGAGUUUCUGAAAAAUGGUAUCUAAAUAUGUAGAUCUGAUGAAAAUUGUGAUGAAUUUCUGAAGGAUACCUAGUAUAAAUUUAUUGCACAGAAUAUCGUGUAAUUAAUAAUGCAAUUGGUAAACGGAUAUAAUUAGAUGAUGUUGAUUGUAAAGAUUUUUGACAUGGAAAAAGGAAUAGACAAUGCAGGAUAAUAUUUUUUCAUUUGAAGCUUCAUUUUCCAAGAUAAUAGUGGGUUAAGUUUAGGUUGGACUGCAUAAAAAUGUGGCUAUCUGCUCCAAAAUGAAAUGUAAUUAUAACAUAAAUUGUAUUAAAGCUUUUUGCGAAUAUCUCGGAAACUAAAGCCAAGUAGCGAUAAUAUGUAUAAAAAAGUUGUCCAGAAUGAUGACCUCGACACAUCUCAAAAUCAUGAAAAUCGGUGAACUGUGUCCUCUUAUAUGUAAUUUCUUAAAUAAGUUUUAUAUUUACAUAAUGAAAAAUAAUACGAUAUAUAUCUCAAUCUUUAUUAUUUACUUACUAAUAGUAUUAACAAGAACAUUGUUAUUGUUAACAAAACAACAACGUAUGAUUCGUAUCAUUCAUUUCCAUAAUGUAUUAUUCAAGGCUCGAACAAUUUCUCUAAAUAGUAUAACAUGAAUAUAUAUUAGCAGAUGAUAUAAUGUAGCUUUGUAAAUUUGGACAGUAAUACGGCUGAAAAUUGAGCUGACGAAGCUAAAACUUGUGGUUGUUUGAAACUAGCAACGUAUCUAGAUAUGCAUGCGUUCAAUUGCAUGCACUGGACAAAUUUCAUCGAUUAAAUCCGAAACUAAACGUAAUAUUCGAAUUAUAACUUGGAACAAUGUUUACAAGAACUACAACAAUCUAAAACAACCUUCAAGUGCUCGAUUUUCAAAAAAAUGGGCCUAGUAAGAAAUCACUUUUUUUCGUGAUAAAUCAUUAUUUGUUUGGAACAAUCUUGGACUAAUGUAGAGCAACUUGCAACAACAAUAAAAAAUCUGCCUCCUCAAAUUACCUGAUAUGUAAAAUAAUGCAUAUAAGUUUUUGUUACUAUAAUUAUAGAAUUAUAUUCUUGAUAGCAUCGAAGUAGAUUUAGUUGAAUGAUAGCAAUAGUGAGCAUUGGAUAAUUCGUAGGAAUAAAUAAAUAUUAGAAUUUUAUCUAGAAAUAUAAAAUCUUUAUAUCUGGCGUUGUCUGUGAAAACAUUCAUUAAGGAUACGUUCGUUCGCCGAUUAACACUAGAACUACCGAUAGUUAACACGAAGCUAUUUCUGCCAAAACCAGGAAAAGUGACUGGUCUUUAAAAGAUACACAAUAAUAGAAUAUUUUAAUAUUUAUUAAUUUAUUACUUUCUUACAGAAGCAAUUACAUGUUAUGUAAUACAUUUUUGGUAUAUUAAUCCGUCUGGAACCCCUAAACGAGGAUUGACACAUUUAUAAAAUUUUAGAACCAGUCACUUUCACUGGUAUUUGUAUAUAUAGCCUUCAUACGAAAUUAUAUUCAGUUUGAACACAUAAAAAACAAAAUGAAAUAAAUUAUAUUAUUCUUUUAGUUAUCGUUGUGAAAGUCAUUAUAUCAUUGCAGAAAAAAAGAUAUAGCAUAAAUAGGGAAUUUCAAAAUAAAAUUGAAAAGCAGUCAAUUUCACUGGUGUGGUAGUUCUAGUGUUAAAUAUAAUCAUUCAUUGCCCGAUAAUUAAAAGUAUACAACAAAAAUCCUUUUAGCUAACUUAUUUAUUCAGAUUACAAAUUCCUUAAAUUAAGGACAUUCCUAUUCGUUUUGACAAUAAUACCGUAUAAUAAAAGAAUCCUCUUUUCUUACUACUUCUUUAUCUACAAUACUAGAACAACCCAGAGCAAAAAUAUGAAAACUGGACACGCAUGUAAAGCUGCUUUUGCUCUUGCA